UUGGCCUUUGUUUUGUCCAGAUCUCGAGUUCAGAGAUGUUUCAGCUUAUGCGUGAGAUCAUCCAAGUCAACAACAUCAGCUAGCUCUUCUGACGGGCCUCGGCCCAGAUCCUCCGUCCCUGAUCAACGCCCGCGCGGCCCGAAGUUCCCGUCGCCGACGCAGAUCAGAUCCGGCCCAGGACAGUGCAGCAUUUGCUUCUUCACGGAUAGGAUCACGAAGUGGUGAUGUGAGAUACGACGAGUUCUCCGACAAGUUCUUCUGCAGCUUUUCACAGGCGAGCCCACCCCUUCACCUAUUUUACUUUUACAUGCUCUUUUGAUCUAUUUCUAUCCUUGUGUUGCGAUUCUGUUGUGUCACGUGUCCUAUCCACCUGUUACCUAUAUGUCCGAGAUACACCUCCUCGCCCUACCUAUUGUUUGUUGUUUGCCAGCUUUGCGGGUCGUAGGCGAGUUUAGGGUCUUGUUGAUAUCUCGAGAUGUUCGGGAUAUCUUUUUGGGAGGUUAUCACAUGCUAUAUCUUUUGUUGGAGACAAUCACACUUUACUUUAUUGUUAACAACUAAAAUUGUAAGCAGAGGCAUCUGUGAGCCCCUUUGCGAAAGCAUCGGAACUUUGACUCGCUAAUGUCCCCUAGGAUCCGAGUUCUUGUUAUCUGUUCCGAGAUUGAGCGCUCUACCCGUACGUGGGGGAGUGGGACCCCCAUCACCCACUACCUUUCCUCGAGUCUGUUUAUUUGGGAGCCACAACCUUGGUUUUAUUUGCUCAUAUGCACGAUGCACGAUUUACUUCUGUUGCCUUCGGGUGUUUAUAUUCUGUUCUGUACUCAUAUCGUGGAACGAUUAGCGAAAGCAGGUUGUUCACACUUAGCUUAGCCGUUGGCACAAACCUCUGGGUCCGUAUCGGAGUACGGCCGAACUUCGUCACGGGUAGCUUAGUGGGGUGGCUCCCCUUAAACUUUCUCUUGCAUUGGGAACGGUCUUGUUGUGAGACUCCACCUGUAAUAAGUGGGUUCGAGCAUGCGUAUGGUUACAUUUGGGCAACCCCUGCAGGGUGUACAUCUUAUCGAUAAGCCGUGUCCGCGGUUAUGGACGACUUGGAAUUGUAUGACUUGAUCAUAGAACAACUUGCACCUUAUACUUGUUGUUAAUAAUCUGAUAAUAACUUGAUUAGUAAUAUAGCAUUACUACAACCGAUACCUAAUACUUGUCCACCGUUGAGUGCCUCUUACAUUGCCUCUUCGCUUUGUUGAAGGGGAUAUGUGUAUUUGGUUGGGUUAUGUUUGUGUAGUAUUUAUCUGUUACCUUGUGCGCUCUCUUAUCUUCUCUGAGUAGACGGAUGUUGUAGCGUGUCUCUAUUGGAUAGUAGCUUUGCUGCCGCUAAACUCCACAUAUAGCCGGGUGAAGUUUAUACCGCCCACCAGCAAGCAUAGCUGGUCUUGUCUCGCAAGUACGUGCCAAUGGUACUUACCCUCGCCUUCCUUUCUUUUUGUCUCCUCCCCCUUUUGUCGGCAACCGAUGGCCCGACUUUGACAGGUACGAGAUGACGACGUUAGCAAGGUUACCCUUCCGGCUUGGCCUGGGCAGGGUUAUGGACGCCGCUGGUUAUCUUCAGGACUCUUAGUCCAAUUUGUAUCUUGUCCGUACUCGGACGUAUUUGAUCUUCUGUAUGUUUUGGAUCUUUGUAUGUAUCUAUUUGUAUCUUGACUCGUUGGAGUCGUUGUUGUAUAUAUGUAUCUUGUGGGCUC